ensembl:lncRNA
CGGAGCUUUACAAGCUGCAUGCUGGGUGGUGGAAAGGGUUUUACUAUUAACUUGGAGACUUGUAGCUGACAGAAAAACCUGUGCAGGAGCAUGUGCAGGUGGCAGAUAACAAGUGUACAAUAACAGCCUGCGAGUGAGACCACAUUGAGGAGGCAGCACAAACAAGAAGAAACCUUCAAGAAAGUCUCAAGGCUAAAGAGGCUUCAGGU